CCCUUGAUACUCUGGGCGGCACGCGCGCUACACUGGUUUAUAUAACGUGUAAUUUGGACGAUAGUCUGUAUAAAUCACUAAUAUAAAACCGUGAAUGGGAUAGUUUAUUGCAACUUACAAACUUUAACUAGGAAUCCCUUGUAGAAGUAGUGAAUUAUACUGCUUCGAAUACGUCCCUGCCGAUUGUACACACCGCCCGUCGUUUCUUCCGACUGGUACUCAUUGUGAAUUGCGAGGAGAUUCUGUCAAAUCGUUGUAAAUGCUGGGUAUUGGAGGAAGAAAAAGUCGUAACA
rnacentral:rRNA from 1 species